rnacentral:tRNA from 1 species
AGCAUGAAAUAAAUCUAUGUUACGGCCAUAGACAUGAUAGGCAGUCUAUCUCAUGCUU